rnacentral:rRNA from 1 species
AAACUUUCAACAACGGAUCUCUUGGUUCUGGCAUCGAUGAAGAACGCAGCGAAAUGCGAUAUGUAAUGUGAAUUGCAGAUUUCAGUGAACCAUCGAAUCUUUGAACGCACAUUGCGCCCGCCAGCACUCUGGCGGGCAUGCCUGUUCGAGCGUCGUUUC